rnacentral:lncRNA from 1 species
UGGAGAUUCUCAAAAUUGGAGCUACGAUCUAUAGGAAUAAGUCUGGAAAGAGCUGAUAGUCUUGACAAUCGGUCGGCGAGUGAGAUAUCGAAAACCCUAGGUGAUCGGAGAUGCUUUCGAUUUGGGAAUUUCUGUGGGAGACGGAUAAUGUAAUCUAUAUAUUAUAUGAAAACACAGUUUUCUAACGCCCCGCAAAAAUUUUGACAGUUUAUUUUCACCAAAAUUUCAGGCAUAUACAAUGUGAUUCGUAACAAUUUCAAAAGUUCAAACGUGAUUUCAACAACAGUUUUUACUCAAAAAUAUGGAUUUGAGCAAUCAACAUUCAAUAUCUUCACCAAAAAAAGGAAAUGUCAAGAGAAAUUGUCUUCUGUAAAUACCUUUAGGCGGCUUGAGGGUUGUACUGGUCCCGAUGAGGUGGCGAAAUCAGUGGGGCAAAUAGAGCCGAGGGCGGCGCCGUGCUACUGUAACAGGCUAGAGAGAUGAUGGUGUGUAGUGUGUACGGCGGCGGCCGUGGCUACCUGUGACUGUUGCUGCCGCCGAAGAGAGAGAGAAUAAAUGCGAGAUUCACACAGAUAGGGGAGGGAUCGAAACUCG